rnacentral:rRNA from 1 species
GACGAACGCUGGCGGCGUGCUUAACACAUGCAAGUCGAACGGAAAGGCCCUGCUUUUGUGGGGUGCUCGAGUGGCGAACGGGUGAGUAACACGUGAGUAACCUGCCCUUGACUUUGGGAUAACUUCAGGAAACUGGGGCUAAUACCGGAUAGGAGCUCCUGCUGCAUGGUGGGGGUUGGAAAGUUUCGGCGGUUGUGGAUGGACUGGCGGCUUAUCAGCUUGUUGGUGGGGUAGUGGCUUACCAAGGCUUUGACGGGUAGCCGGCCUGGGAGGGUGACCGGCCACAUUGGGACUGAGAUACGGACCAGACUCCUACGGGACGCAGCAGUGGGGAAUAUUGCACAAUGGGCGGAAGCCUGAUGCAGCAACGCCGCGUGCGGGAUGACGGCCUUCGGGUUGUAAACCGCUUUCGCCUGUGACGAAGCGUGAGUGACGGUAAUGGGUAAAGAAGCACCGGCUAACUACGUG